UGACCAUAUCAUGUUGAAACACCAGUUUCCCAUGCAAUCACUGAAGUUAAACAAUGUUGAGCCUAGUCAGUACCUAGAUGGCUGACUGUUUGGGAAUAUCAGGUGCUAUA